rnacentral:rRNA from 1 species
UAGGGAAUCUUCGGCAAUGGGGGCAACCCUGACCGAGCAACGCCGCGUGAGUGAAGAAGGUUUUCGGAUCGUAAAGCUCUGUUGUAAGAGAAGAACGUGUGUGAGAGUGGAAAGUUCACACAGUGACGGUAACUUACCAGAAAGGGACGGCUAACUACGUGCCAGCAGCCGCGGUAAUACGUAGGUCCCGAGCGUUGUCCGGAUUUAUUGGGCGUAAAGCGAGCGCAGGCGGUUUAAUAAGUCUGAAGUUAAAGGCAGUGGCUUAACCAUUGUUCGCUUUGGAAGCUGUUAAACUUGAGUGCAGAAGGGGAGAGUGGAAUUCCAUGUGUAGCGGUGAGAUGCGUAGGUAUAUGGAGGAACACCGGUGGCGAAAGCGGCUCUCUGGUCUGUAACUGACGCUGAGGCUCGAAAGCGUGGGGAGCAAACAGG